rnacentral:misc_RNA from 1 species
AAGUCGUAACAAGGUUUCCGUAGGUGAACCUGCGGAAGGAUCAUUAUCGAGUUUUGACUGGGUUGUAGCUGGCCUUCCGAGGCAUGUGCACGCCCUGCUCAUCCACUCUACACCUGUGCACUUACUGUGGGUUUCAGAUGUUAUUAGCGGGGCCUUUACGGGUCUCGUGAAAGCGUCUGUGCCUGCGUUUAUUACAAACUCUUACAAGUAACAGAAUGUGUAUUGCGAUGUAACGCAUCUAUAUACAACUUUCAGCAACGGAUCUCUUGGCUCUC